rnacentral:rRNA from 1 species
UACGGGGGGGCAAGCGUUGUUCGGAAUUACUGGGCGUAAAGGGCCAGUAGGCGGCCAACUAAGUCCGACGUGAAAUCCCAAGGCUUAACCUUGGAACUGCGUCGGAUACUGGAUGGCUUGAGUUCGGGAGAGGGAUGCGGAAUUCCAGGUGUAGCGGUGAAAUGCGUAGAUAUCUGGAGGAACACCGGUGGCGAAGGCGGCAUCCUGGACCGACACUGACACUGAGGAGCGAAAGCCAGGGGAGCAAACGGG